GUACACAUCAAAAAAUUACUAAAUAUGUAAAAGUAUAAUUCAAACUUGCUGAGUAGAUAUACACAAUAUUUAAGUUGUUGAGUUCAAUAAACGUUGACACUUUAUUAAAUUUUAAAUUGGCAAAUAAAAAAAAUGAUUUUUAUAAAUUUAUUGGGAAAUUUGCCCCUGGUGGUUUCUACAUAGUUGGGGAAUCAAGGAUUGAUGGUGAAAAGAGCGAGUCUCAUAUUGUCUUCUAGAGUUAUUUUUGUGAGUCUUUGACGUUUUUUUCGUUUUAAUAUUUGUGAUUUCACUAAAUCCAUGCUCACAUAGCCAGGAUGUAGAAAGUGAAGGAGCACUUCUGGCCUUCAGCCUUUGUCGAUAAUCGAUGGUAUUCAUUGUGAAAAACCACCCAAAAGCUGUUAAGCAAUACUUUUUUAAAUUUAAGUUGGAGGGUUCGGUCGUUUAUCAGUUUCACUUUCUGUUGUACCUUAUAGUGAUCUGUUUGUAUCAUGGAUGUAAAAGGGUUUUCGAAUCCAGUUGUAAUGUUCUACAUUUAAGUCUGGAAAAUAAUGUUUCAAGGACAUUUGAAAAGCCUGUAAGUGGUUUCUUAUGAUUUCCAGAACGGCAGGACUGGAGUUUUCUUGGCUCGUAAACAUUGGAAACAUAGCUAUGUUCCCUCAAAGUUUGCACACCACACGGAGAUUUUCAUUAAUAAGUAAUAACAAAAAGUAAAAUACACGAGCUAUAAAGCGGAGGCCACACAGAACGCUACGCUACCUACGUAUACUACGUACGAUAUUUACUACUAGUCACACUAAACAGUUAUCAGUUAUGUUCAAGACGUUGUCAGGUACGUUGCCUUGGGAAAGUGAUAGCAGUGAUGAUGAAGCUUUGUUAUUAUUUUCGUUAAAUAAUAAUAAUAAACAAAAAAGGAAAUUGGUCCAUGGAACGUAAAAAGUUUGGUGAAUUUCAUCAUCUUUUAAAACAACUACGAAAAUAUGAAUUAAAAUUUAAAGAAUAUUUCCGUAUGAUUUUUUCCUCCAGAGACAAGGGUACCUGCGUACUUCCUUUAUUAGCUCCUCUAGUAACAUCACUUCGAAAAAAUAACGUAGCACUCACGAAAAUUAACAAAAUAGAAUUUAUUUUCGUUAAACUGAUGUUAAAACUGCAUGCGUUAAAAAUUUAUGAUCGACUGUUGUUUCAGAAAUUCUCCGUCGUCGUAAUCGGCUUUCCACAAAAUGAGAGACAAGAGUCAAUACGGAUAGCGCAGGUCGCCAAAAACGUCGCGACACAUCGCUCAAAAAUAUAGCCGCAAAUCAAACACUCGGCGACGCGUCGCAACGUAGCUAAGAACAAAACGUAGGGUACACUAUUCUGUGUGGCCAUUUACGUCUUCAAGACAGAAUACUAUUUUUUAUUCGUAUAGCGAACAUGGCACGUGUAGCGUUCUGUGUGGCCCCGGCAUAAGUGUAGCACACAGCGACUGUAGAAUAACUGACUGAUGACCGGCUAAAAUGUUGAAUCGUUAAGUCGAUAAGAUAAGAUAAUCGGUGACGCAGCAUUGUCGUACGUUAUAAUACUGCGCGUGUUUAUCGAAUCUAAAGAUUAAAUAUAAAUAAUAAAUAAUACAAAGAUACGAACUUGGAGGUAUGUCAUUUACAUGACAGUAAUGACAAUAAAUAAUAGUAUGAUUUUUAUCGAAAAAAUUUGUUUUUUCUUUUUCCCGUCACCCCGUCACCACACCUUUUUCCCUUUUUUCAUGUCACCCCGGUUAAACCACUGCAAUAGGUAACCUGCAGACUUUUUGCCAAUAAUGGUAACUAAUCACUACAUACGAAAUAUUGAGGAACCAUGGCUUGCAUAUAAUUUGCAAAAUGGUUUAGAUGGAGAGAAAAAUUGUAUCUAAAGUAUAAAAAUAAAUUGUGUUGGUAGCCACCCACAUAGAAGCAGAAAAGGUUGGAUAUUGAUGGUUACCUGGAUAUGGUCAAGGCUUUGAAUAAUGCAUUCGUGAUCUCGCUACUUCCAUUUUUUGGAUAAUCUUCUCAACCG